rnacentral:lncRNA from 1 species
GACUGACCGACCUCUCGGUGUUAGAAUCUAUACUGCCUAGGAUCGAUUCCUAAGUCCCUAGAAUACCAAUCCGUCUGUAACUGAAAGUAAAAUCUUGAUGACGUGUAGAUCUGAUCUACUAUCUACUGAGAGGAACGGGGAAACACACCUUUAUUGUUGUUGCUAUCUUCAUACCGUCGCCCUGCAGAGAAGCAGCAGGCAUCGGGAUCCGAGCCGCUGUAGGUUGUCGCGUUUCUAAACACUCCGACGUCUAGGCGAUGGGGCCUCUGAGGACUAGGGUUUUGGGGCGAGGUACUAGCGUUAGUUUUUCCUGCGACCCCUUAGUCCUAUAUAUAGCGUCGUGUGUCUGGGGGCUCCAACCGAGGUUAGUGUGGGCCCUCCCGAUCAAGGGCCCGAUUAAAGGAACGAUAGUUGGGUUAAGCCCAAUCCAGUCUCUAUUGACCGGCUGUAGAGGACACACCCAACAAUCUCCCCUUUGUUCUCUACAUUCCUUGUACUCAACUUUUCUGGAUUCCAUCCCUUGACAAGUUUACACAUAGAGACCAAUGUGUGACAAUGACCGAUUAAGUAUCAUCGCACUCAUUGACUACAACAUGCUCGCCUGCUUCAGAACGGAAAAGACUUUAUUUGGUUGCAAUCUGCAGCCCCUGUGAUUCAAGAUCAUAGGCACUCCCUUAAACCCAUGCCGGCUACGUGAUAUCUUAACACGUUGGGUGGAAGACCUUUUUGUGAGCGGAUCCGCUAGCAUCUGCUAUGUUCUGUUAUGCUCAUCUUUUAUGGUUUGAUCCUGAAUCUACUCCUUAACAACAUAACACUAAAAGUCAAUGAACUUGGCAGCGCCACAUGACUUGUUGUUAUAGGAAUACGGUAUCGCUGGCUCAUUAUCGCAGUAAAUUCUCAGUGGUCGCUCUAAGCUAUCAACCACUCUUAAUCCGGGUACAAAUUUCUUUAUCUUUAUUGCCUGCCCAUUUGCCUCAUGCAUGGUUACAAACUCAGCGUGCAUUGUCGACGAUGCUCUCGCUGUCUGUUUGCAACUUUUAUAAGAAAUAACUCCCCCAGAUAUAGUAAAUUUAUACCUCGAAGUAGGGAACUAGAUCUUCUGUUUAUUAGCAUGAGGCCAUUUUCGUACCUUGGAGGUACAUUAGAGCCUUCUUAACUGCUUAACGGUGUUCUAUGUCUGGGUUGAUCUGAUAUCUCCCAAACAUCCCGGUAGUAAAUUCUAAGUCAGGGCGAAUAUAUAUUUGAGCAUACAAAAUGCUUCUGAUAGUAGAAGCAUAUGGUACUGACUUUAUCUGAUCUUUCUGUCACUGAAUCUGGGGAUACUGAUGAUUCCCAAACUUAUCACCCUUGACUAUUGGCGCAGGCGUGGCCUUACACUGAUGCAUACUGUACUUCUUUAGUACUUCUCUAUGUAUGACUUCUGUGAGAGUUCUAAUACUUCAUUAUGCCUAUCUCUGUGAAAUUCUAUUUUAAAACGUAAGAGGCUUCUCCUAUGUUUUUUUUAUAUCGAAGUUCGAGGAACGAAAACUUUCUGUUUCCGCUAGUAGAUCUUUAUCACUACUAGCUAAAAAAUAUGCCAUCGACAUACAGAACAAGGAAGAUAUACUUUUCUUAGACUUCGCAUAAAUGCAAUUGUCUUCCUCGUUUUCCUCGAAACCAAAACUUUCUGAUAGUCUGAUCAGAUUUGAUGUACCACUGUCUGGAGAAAUGUUUUAAUCCUUAAAUGGACCUCCAUAAGUGACAUCCCUUGUUUUUCUUUAACUGCUCAUGACAAAACCCUUUGGUUGUGCCAUGAACACGUUUUCUGUUAACUCUCCAUUUAGUGAUGUUGUCAUUACAUUCAUCUUAUGGAGCUCUAGAUCAAAUGAGCCACUAGUGCCAUAAUGAUCCGAAAUUAAUCUUUUGUUAGGACAAGUGAGAAGGUUUCAUGGUAGUCAAUGCCUUCUCACUGUGUGAACGCCUUGGCCACAUGUCCUUGUCUCUUUCUAUAUUCCCUUUGGAGUCACGCUUGGUCUUCUUGCGCUUCUCAUAGCUAUUUCAUAUGUAGUGGGAUCACCUUCUGCAUCGAUGUCCUCACACAUAUAAAUCUCAUCGCUUUCUAUGUCUACACUUGUGUAAACUCCAUAAUCAUCAGGAAUCGCAGAUCGUCUAGACCUUCGAGACCUUCAUAAACUUUGUUUCUAGUUCUGGUUCGUUCUGGGGCUCCUGCAUUAGUGCAUCACUUGGCGUGACACUACUACUGUCAUGUGAACUCUCCUGUGCAACCGACUCAGAAGAGCCAGAAUGUGCAGAAGGUGUACUGACUUGCUCUGUAGUAGUUGCACUUGGUGAUACAAUAUUUGCAGCAGGGGUUUCACCUCGAGUCGUUACAACCGUUGGUGGAACCACAGCGGGUAUCGAGAAGUAUGGUUCUUCAACCAUCGGAAUCGGGACAUACAUCCUCUUUCCUGAAGGUCAACCUCUCUGAGUACCUUACUCCCCUUGAUCAUGUCAUCUUCUAGGAAAAUGGCAUGUCUGGUUUCUAUAAACUUGGUUUGUCUGCCUGGACAGUAGAAUCUGUAACCCUUCGAUCUCUCAGGGUAGCCAAUAAAAUGGUAGCUAGUGGUUCUCUCAUCUAGCUUUUCCUGUCCAGGAUUAAAUAUUCGAGCUUCUGCUGGACAACCCCAUAUGUUGAAGUAGUUGAGCGUGAACUUUCUGCCAGUCAACAACUCAUAUGGAGUUUUAGCCACUGAUUUACUAGGAACUUUGUUGAGUAUUUGCAUACGGUUUUUAAAGCCACCAUCCAUAAACUCAAUGGUAAGUUAGAGUAACUAAACAUACUCAUUACCAUGUCCAUCAAUGUUCUUCUUACGCCUUUAGGAAACCACAUUUUGUUGCGGUUCACCAGGUGUUGAAUACUGAGCUACAAUACUGUUUUCACUUAGGAACCUCGCGAAAGGAUCCUGGGACCUGUCCAUACUCAGUAUGGUGCCCACAUUACCCCCACACGAUUUGAUAUGACAAUCUUUGUGUUCAAAUCGUGUUGUUUUUCUACAUCAGCCUUGAACUAUUUAAACUUGUCUACAUCUUAUGAUCUGUCCCUUAAAAAAAGGUAAAUAUAAUCGCAGCGAGAGUAGUCAUCUGUGAAGGUUAUGAACAAGUCAAACCCAUCUACUGUCCUAACUGGAAAAGGACCACAUAUAUCUGUAUGAAUAAUUUCUAACACUCUCGUACUGUGCAUGCAAUCUCUGCAUUGCUCUAAGUCUGUGAAGUCUAGGUGAUGGAGAAUCCGUCCCUUAACGAGAUUUCUUUUCUCCCCCUCAAAAUAUGGCCCAAACGAUAGUACCAUAAUUUCGACGAGGUUUCUCCAUCACAUUGUUUUCUUACUCCUGCCAAUGUUGGCUGGUUUAUUUUCUGGCGUAUCUAGCACCACUGUGCGAAGAUAAAUAAAGCAUGUCUCGUCAGAUGGCGAGACCAAACUCUUUAUUAUCAAAACUGAAUAACACAGUCUCUAUCACCGAAGUGAUGUUGGAUGUGUUGAUUGUCUAAUCACGAAAAUGAAGUUAAGUGUCUGCUUGCUUUCCGUUAACCACUGUAACUGUUUUCAGCCCUCUGGGAGCCUUAGGUUUGUAUGGAAUUACAUUCUGUAGCAUCUAUUGCAGGAAUUCUGAACACUUUCUAUUGUAUGCCCUGUCUUCUUGCAAUAGAGGCAGGUCUCAGGGGAUCUGAGAAACAGUCUGAUUGUUGCAUAUAGAAAACAUCGUGAUCAUGUUUGAUCUUAUUCUUGAACCUUUCUUAGAGGUCUUGUUCUGUUUGAGGAAUCUUAGUUUGGGAAGAUUGAUAGAAUCACUUAUUUGACUUAUCAACCUUUCCUUCUUCUAGACAAACUAUGUCACGAGUUGAUCUAUAUAGCACUUGUCCAUUUAGACAGGUGUUUUACUGAUCAUGAAAUGUCUCAUAUUCUGGAAUAGCACCCUCAAUAGGAUCCUGGAUGAGACUCUUAUUAUGAUCAAGUACAUUACACUUGGAUCUUUUUCAAUUGACCUUAUAGAUGCUUUAAGGCGCCAUCUUAAGGUCAUCCUAAGGUGAGCCUACUGUAGGCUUAAUGGGUUUCUCAAAACACAGUGAGGAAUCUAUUUCAUCCACUGUAGUUAUCAUUUCAAUCUUUUCCCGCCAUAAGUGACAAUAAAUACCACAUAACGGUUUAAUCUGUCUUGUCUGACCAACUAAUAGGCCAAUAUGUGCACUUUUGCAAAGUAAAAUAGAAAAUAUUUAGGACAUCUGAAGUAAAUACUGAAACAUAGAACUUGCAUGAAUUAAAUAUCCGACGUUGGUCAAAUAAUAAUCAUGUGUGAUCUACAAAAUUUCUUGUUCUAAAAUUCUAAACCAUCGUUAGAUGAUUUAGAAAACUUAAUUCUUGUAUAAAAUGUGGCAACAAUAUUCGACGUUGGUCAAAAUAUUCAAUCACCACAAAAACUGAAUUCUAUGCACUUAAAGAGAAUUAAUCCACGUAGGCUUCAUAAUAAACAAUAGUGCAUAGAAAAACAAAUAAUAAUCUGGUUCUAAAAUUCUAAAACCAUCGUUGGAUGAUCUAGAAUAUGUUUAUUUCUGUUCAAAAUGUGGUAACAAUAUCUAACGUUGGUUAGAAUAUUCAAUUACCACAAAUUUUCUGAAUUCUAUGCAAUUUAGUCAAUAAAUUAAUCAACGUUGGUUUCAUAAUCAACUGAAAAAUUGCAUAAAAUAUUGAAUAAAGUACCAAAGUACGCAGCGGAAUAAAAUAGUCCAUAAAUAUAUCUGUAAUUUUCUAUAACUGAAAAAUAUUUCUAAGAUAUUUUCUGAAUUUUCUGCACUAUUUUUUUUCUUAUUUCUUUUCUGUGUUUCUAAUUUCUGGAAAUAGUAAACAAAUUCCCGAAAAAAAAAUUGGAGGCCAUUUUGGCUUGAUCGGCCUCUUGGCCCAUCAAGGCGGCCCACCUUUUGGCCGCUGCCAGCAGGGAGCGCGCGCCCAGGCCGCAACCUGGGCCUGGGCCACGAAUCUGGCCUAGCCGCGGGCGCCUCCCGCACCUCCACCUCCAUCCAGCGCCGUUAGAUAUAAUCCGACGGUCAGGAGUGCACGGCGCACUAUGCAGGUUUUAUAUAUAGCGUGGAGUUCGGGGUGACAGCAAACCCUAGCCAUUUUCUUUUCUUAUCCCCAGCCGCCACAAAGACAGCCGGCCGCCUGGGAACUUUUUUUUCUUUUCUUCUUCCUGGCCGACCGCACCUCCCACUUCUCUCUAUUUUUUUUUCCUUGCACCAUGGCUUGGCAAACGGAUCUAGGCUGGCUUCCUCUCUUUCUGUUCUUCUCCUGCUCUGUUCUUUGCUUCUUUCUUCCCCACCGAACAGCUCAAACCGGUGAGCUAGCCGCUGCCUGAGCGCGCAGCCGGCUCACAUAUCCGAGGAUGACCGGAUUAAUGUUCAGGGGCAUGCGGGUUUUACCGCCGGUGUGCGCGUCCCCUCAGUAGGGCGCGCCGCCGUCGGUCAAACGCCGACAGCUGUCCCUGUUGACAGCAGAGAAAAGGGGUCGACCUCUUGGUCGACUUCUGUGACUGUGCACGCCCAGAUCUUAUCUCCCUUACCUCUUUGACUCGAUCUCGUUCUCUGUGAUGUAUGAGAUGGAUCUAAUGUAAUAUUCGGGAUCGAGUUAUGAGUUGAUAGAACGUAGAUUUUCUGUGAGGAUUUUUUUGUACCUUUUCUAAUCUGCUCUGUCAUCUAGGCCGUGGAUGUAAAAGAUCCCGAGCCACUGUGAUCUCUGUUGACCCAGAUUUAAAACUGAUCAGGGUUAGGUUAUUAAACCCUAACCCUAAAACAUCGAUCUGUUUUUACUAUCUCGAAUCUUCUGGGUUUGGCCGAGACCAAAUCUCUGUUAGUGGCCAAAACCCUAGAUUUAGGGUUAGGUAAACCCUAACCCGAGAGAUAAAAAAUAUUCUUUCUAUUUUAAUCUAUCUGUUCUCGGGUGAUAAACGAAAAAAAUAGUUCAAUCAUGUUGAUCCGAGACUUUUCUGUGAUCUCAUAAAACUGAUGCGGAUUAGGAGAUCUAGGGUUCUUAGGACGGCUUUGAUACCAUUGUUAGAAUCUAUACUGCCUAGGAUCGAUUCCUAAGUCCCUAGAAUACCAAUCCGUCUGUAACUGAAAGUAAAAUCUUGAUGACGUGUAGAUCUGAUCUACUAUCUACUGAGAGGAACGGGGAAACACACCUUUAUUGUUGUUGCUAUCUUCAUACCGUCGCCCUGCAGAGAAGCAGCAGGCAUCGGGAUCCGAGCCGCUGUAGGUUGUCGCGUUUCUAAACACUCCGACGUCUAGGCGAUGGGGCCUCUGAGGACUAGGGUUUUGGGGCGAGG